CCAAUAGCGUAUAUUAAAGUUGUUGCAGUUAAAAAGCUCGUAGUUGAAUUUCAGGGUCAGUAGGUUGGUCGUGCCACCGGUACGUACUGGUCUCACUGAUUCCUCCUUCCUGAUGAGCUGUAAUGCCAUUAAUUUGGUGUUGCAGGGAAUCUGGACUGUUACUUUGAAAAAAUUAGAGUGUUUAAAGCAGGCUAACGCUUGAAUACAUUAGCAUGGAAUAAUGAAAUAGGACGUUCGAUCCUAUUUUGUUGGUUUCUAGGAUUGACGUAAUGAUUAAUAGGGAUAGUUGGGGGCAUUAGUAUUCAAUUGUCAGAGGUGAAAUUCUUGGAUUUAUUGAAGACUAACUAUUGCGAAAGCAUUUGCCAAGGAUGUUUUCAUUAAUCAAGAACGAAAGUUAGGGGAUCAAAGACGAUUAAGUACGUCGUAGUCCUAACCAUAAACUAUACCAACUAGGAAUCAGACGAUGUUAAUUUUUUAAUGACUCGUUUGGUACCUUAUG
rnacentral:rRNA from 1 species